CUAUAAAAAAAAUACACGAGAGGACCGUGUGUUCUACACAUGAAUUUGCGCAUGUUGUCAAUACAAAUCAAUAUCACGUGUAAAACAGAUGACAUGGCUCAUUCAAAACUGAGCAUUUUUUUUAUAAACAAACCACACGGUAUUAACGUGUAAAGCAAAUCGAAUUCGGUUGCUCGAAUUGUCAUAGCCGCUUGUUUGAUAUAUGAUAUCUAAGAAUAAUUGUGUUGAUUUUCAUUUGAAUUUGGGUGGUUGCAUUUAUUAUUUUAAAAGAAGUUGAACCACACCAACUAAUACUAUUUUACGAGCUGAGGCCGGCGAUUUUGUCUUUGAACAGAUCACAAAAAAAUCAAGUUACCUACAUCUAAAAGAGCUGCUGCCGGAGAACAUGAUCGGUUCGGUGCUUAUUCCUGCUAGCAAGAAGCCGCCACGAAGUACAUACGUCGCAAAGGAUAGUCGGAAGAGGCCGGUAUUGACGAUGCGUCUUCGCCGUUUUGAGUAUAAUUCCAUCUUAUUUGAUCCUGCUGCUG